AGCUUUGCGCAGUGGCAGUAUCGUAGCCAAUGAGGUUUAUCUGAGGCGUGAUUAUUGCUAAUUGAAAAACACCCU
rnacentral:snRNA from 1 species